UCAGAGGAGCGUGCAGACUUGAUAAGGGAAACAGAUGGGCCAACAGAUAAUUCCCAGCGGAGGUGUGUUCAAACAUGAGGUAAUUACAGCUAACGCUUACUAGGCAUUUUCCACAAACUAGACGCGGUUCUAAGUGCUUUUCACAUAUUAAUCACUUGUGUCUCUCAACAGCCCUGGGGGCUUGGUACUAAGCAAAUGGAGGAACAGAGAUGUAAGUAACUUACCCAAGGUCACACAGCCAGCAGAUCUGCACCAAAGCAGUGUGUCCAGGUUUUAUCAUCAUGAUAUCCAGUUCUACUUUGGAAAUGAGAGGCACCGUCUGUGAGUUCCUGGUCAGGACGAGGAAGACAACACCACUAUCUCUGGCACGUUUAGCAAACUCUGUCUCCAGGGAUGGGGCUGGAAUGCAGUGGGCAGUUACAGGUCACUACAGCCUCCAACUCUUGAACCCAAGCAAUCCUCCCACUUCAGCCUCCCAAGUAUCUGGGACCAUGAGCGUGUGGCACGACGUAGUUCCCUUCUUUUUACACAGUGUGGUAUGCAGGAAGCAGUGA
rnacentral:lncRNA from 1 species